rnacentral:rRNA from 1 species
UACGAAGGGUGCAAGCGUUACUCGGAAUUACUGGGCGUAAAGCGUGCGCAGGCGGUGCGCCAAGCUCGAUGUGAAAGCCCCGGGCUUAACCUGGGAAUUGCAUUGAGGACUGGCGUGCUCGAGUGCGGCAGAGGGGGUGGAAUUCCACGUGUAGCAGUGAAAUGCGUAGAGAUGUGGAGGAACACCGAUGGCGAAGGCAGCCCCCUGGGCCGACACUGACGCUCAUGCACGAAAGCGUGGGGAGCAAACAGG